CUGGCUCAGGACGAACGCUGGCGGCGUGCUUAACACAUGCAAGUCGAACGGAAAGGCCCUUCGGGGUACUCGAGUGGCGAACGGGUGAGUAACACGUGGGUGAUCUGCCCUGCACUUUGGGAUAAGCCUGGGAAACUGGGUCUAAUACCGAAUAUGACCACGCUCUUCAUGGGGUGUGGUGGAAAGCUUUUGCGGUGUGGGAUGGGCCCGCGGCCUAUCAGCUUGUUGGUGGGGUAAUGGCCUACCAAGGCGACGACGGGUAGCCGGCCUGAGAGGGUGACCGGCCACACUGGGACUGAGAUACGGCCCAGACUCCUACGGGAGGCAGCAGUGGGGAAUAUUGCACAAUGGGCGCAAGCCUGAUGCAGCGACGCCGCGUGAGGGAUGACGGCCUUCGGGUUGUAAACCUCUUUCAAUAGGGACGAAGCGCAAGUGACGGUACCUAUAGAAGAAGCACCGGCCAACUACGUGCCAGCAGCCGCGGUAAUACGUAGGGUGCGAGCGUUGUCCGGAAUUACUGGGCGU
rnacentral:rRNA from 1 species